UGUUACAAGGAAUGACUGACGAGGAAAUUUCACCUAUUACUACGUUCACGAAACCAUGGGGCAUUGUGACAUAUGUUCAAGGCCUAAAUCAGGCAGAUCGAAAAACACUUCUUUCACUUGACUUACCAACUAAUAAUGAUACUGUUCGUUCGGAUGAAGAGGAAUUACAAGAAAGCAAGAAAACCCUUAAAGUGCUUCGAGGCUUGGCUCCCGAGGACCGUACAAUAA